GGCCCCAUCGUCUAGCCUGGCCUAGGACACAAGAUUUUCAUUCUUGCAACAGGGGUUCGAAUCCCCUUGGGGUCA
rnacentral:tRNA from 1 species